rnacentral:rRNA from 1 species
GUUCAAGCCGCCGCGGUAAGACGAACCGUGCGAACGUUGUUCGGAUUCACUGGGCUUAAAGGGCGCGUAGGCGGGCACGCCAGUCGGGAGUGAAAUCCCCCGGCUCAACCGGGGAACAGCUCCCGAUACUGCGUGCCUCGAGGGGGGUAGGGGUCGACGGAACUUCCGGUGGAGCGGUGAAAUGCGUAGAUAUCGGAAGGAACGCCGGUGGCGAAAGCGGUCGACUGGACCCCUUCUGACGCUGAGGCGCGAAAGCCAGGGGAGCAAACGGGAUUAGAUACCCUUGUAGUCC